rnacentral:lncRNA from 1 species
AGCAUUUUGUAUAUGAAGAACAGAGUGACAGGAAGAAGAAAGAGCACCAGGCUGAGCACCAUUCGACCUCCACUAAUACACGUCUGACCUUGUUCAAGCCCCUUCGCAUCUCUGGCUCAGGUUCCCCUAUUAAGUGCAAAUCACAGCAGUAACUCAACAAGACAUGGGCAAGAUGAGCUUCUGGAAAGCUUGCAUAGUCUCAGGACAGGGAUCUGGAGGAAAUGGGGAGCAUCAGAACCACAGAAGGUUGUACUGGGAAUAACUGGGGCAGGAGCAAAAGCCCAUCCAAGCAGAUGUUUACCACCUCAUUGAUAUGGAAGACUCUGUGCUUCUACCUGAGGCUGCACACGCUCCGCCAGGGGUGAGGAUGCCACCAGCCCACUAUAGCUUCAGUUUCCAGCUUCCAGGAAACUGGAUGAGGUGUUAUCAACUCACAGCAGUUACAACGCCCAUUAAUAAUAAUCAGCUUACCAGGAGCCCCACACUCUCUGUGCCCCACAGGAGAACAGCCCAAGGCAAAGGACUCAAAAAUCUAAAUGACAUCUCAACAACAUGUGAUUGUACCCAGGCAUUUCCCCCUGGGAGCACCAAAGGGAAGAAGGUAAUUUUUCGGUCUUUUGGAAGCUGUGCCCUGGUGCCAAGAUGCCUCAAGCCAAAACCACACAGAGCAGCCUGCCUGACAGAUGGGCCCAGUAGCCUUUAUCAAGCUCUUAGGCUCUUAUGAGCUUCCCUACUUGCGAAUUAAACAUAAAUUUAUCCUUUGCGGCUCUUUCAUAAAA